UACGUAGGGUGCAAGCGUUAAUCGGAAUUACUGGGCGUAAAGCGUGCGCAGGCGGCUUUGCAAGACAGAUGUGAAAUCCCCGGGCUCAACCUGGGAACUGCAUUUGUGACUGCAUAGCUGGAGUGCGGCAGAGGGGGAUGGAAUUCCGCGUGUAGCAGUGAAAUGCGUAGAUAUGCGGAGGAACACCGAUGGCGAAGGCAAUCCCCUGGGCCUGCACUGACGCUCAUGCACGAAAGCGUGGGGAGCAAACAGG
rnacentral:rRNA from 1 species